GUCAUGUCGGCGCGACGACCACCCGCACUGGGAUGCAGCUCCAGGUUGGUGGAAGUACUGUGUGGGCUGUAUCUCAGCCCUGGCCACGGAGGGCCUUUGAACAUGGUAGACAAGUACUCUACCCACUGAAAAUGUUUCCAAGGUUGGAUCUGAACUCCUAGACUCGAGUGAUUCUGCUACGUUGGCUUCCCAGGCUCACUGAAGAAUAGUACUGAAAAAGGAGCUGCAUUCUUUUAAAAUAUUAUAGGAAACUGAAGAGGAAGCAACCCAAAUGUGCAUUAAUGGACAAAUCAAUAAACAAAUAGUUUAUACUUGGUGACUUUGCAAAUAACUGAGUUCAUUUCUUAUUAACUAACAGUUCUCCAGGUAGCCUUCUGUUAUGGUUUAUAUCUAGAUGUCCUCCUGAAGCCUUAUGCAUUCACAGGUGGGGCUUUGGAGGUGACUGGAUCAUAGGGAUGUGAUACACAACAGUGGGUUAGUCCACUGAUAAGUUUAUAGCUAAAUGUGAUGUUGGGAGGCGAGGCCUGGUCAGAGGAGGUGGUCAUUGGGUGUGUAGCCUGGAAGGCUCCAUCCCUCUCCCUCCUUCCUGCACUCUCUACUUGGAGCUGCCACACCAUGUGCUCUUUCUCCUCUACUAUUCCCCUCUGCCACACUGCUCUGCCUUGAAGCCAGCUAACUAUGGACUGAAACCUCUACAAAUUGUGAGCCAAAAUAAACUUCUUCUCCUUCCUUAAGUUGUGAGUGUUGGAUAUUGUGUCUCAGCAACAAGAAAGUAACUAAGACACCUGACCUCUCACUCACCUGAUUUAUCCUCGAGUGUUUGUGAGUACUGGAAACAAGUAUCUCACCUUUACACUUCACCCCCAACCAUGUAAGAAUGCAUUGUAGGAAGUGAUUCUUUGAAAGGGAGCUUGCUUCUAUGGCCAGAGUUACAUCCCCUAAGAAAUCCUAAGAUGACUUAUGGAACUUUUCUUCAGAUGGAAGCCAUGGUAGUAGCGGUUGAGCUCAUCCAGCACCCUCUGUCUCAGUGACUUCUUUACUGCCACCGGGGCCACUGGGCUCUACACCCUCCUCCAGCUCUUUGUUCUUGACCUUCAGGGACUGCAGUCAUGGCCUAGAGGGGGCAACAAAUGCCAGCCACGCACCGGAAAGUACCGGCCCCCCAAAGAACACACCGGCUGUAGCGCGAGUCCAUGGCGCUCCUGCCACCACACACAGG
rnacentral:lncRNA from 1 species